GGGGAAUAUUGCACAAUGGGCGAAAGCCUGAUGCAGCGACGCCGCGUGAGCGAAGAAGUAUUUCGGUAUGUAAAGCUCUAUCAGCAGGGAAGAUAAUGACGGUACCUGACUAAGAAGCACCGGCUAAAUACGUGCCAGCAGCCGCGGUAAUACGUAUGGUGCAAGCGUUAUCCGGAUUUACUGGGUGUAAAGGGAGCGCAGGCGGUGCGGCAAGUCUGAUGUGAAAGCCCGGGGCUCCACCCCGGUACUGCAUUGGAAACUGUCGUACUAGAGUGUCGGAGGGGUAAGCGGAAUUCCUAGUGUAGCGGUGAAAUGCGUAGAUAUUAGGAGGAACACCAGUGGCGAAGGCGGCUUACUGGACGAUAACUGACGCUGAGGCUCGAAAGCGUGGGGAGCAAAC
rnacentral:rRNA from 1 species